CAGGAUAGAGUAAUGUGUUCAAAGCUGAGGGUGACCUAUUCUGUAAAUCUGAGCUCAACCAUAAGUGAAAAAAGAUGUGUAUUCAAUGAUAAAAAGGUAUGAGAAACAUUCUUAGUAGGGGUAAAUGAAUGUAGCAGCCAAGGACAGCAACAGCAACAGAGUGAAGUUGAAGAGACUAGUAAGAGAAUACUUUCUAAAUGUAAACUAAGAGACAGAGAGAGGUGAAAGCGAAAGUCAGGUGGAGGUAACAACAGUGGAGAGUCAGACCUGGAGCACUAUGGAGAGAGCCCUGUGACAUCCUGCCUACAGCUCCUGCCAUUCUGUUCACUUCACUCCACCCAGUAACCACAAGUUGGUCAUACAAAUGACCUUGAAGUCCUGGCAAGUGUCCAGAAAGCAGUGAUAACACUUGAGCCGAAGAGAUGGAGCGCCUAACCUCUGCUAAGCAGUUCUGACAUAUUGGGAAAGAUGAUCAUGCACUCAAUGCAGCCUCAAAGGCUCAGAUGCAACAGAGUACAGACCAAUUCUCUGCUGGUUGUGCUAAUUUUGCCCUCGCAAUCAAUACCAAGAAAACAGAGGUUCUCCACCAGUCAGCAUCAUACUGU